UCAUCGCAUCCUGGGGCUGUAGUCGGUCCCAAGGGUUGGGCUGUUCGCCCAUUAAAGCGGUACGCGAGCUGGGUUCAGAACGUCGUGAGACAGUUCGGUCCCUAUCCGUCGUGGGCGUAGGAAAUUUGAGAGGAGCUGUCCUUAGUACGAGAGGACCGGGAUGGACAUACCUCUGGUGUACCAGUUGUCGUGCCAACGGCAUAGCUGGGUAGCUAUGUGUGGACGGGAUAAGUGCUGAAAG
rnacentral:rRNA from 1 species